CAGGGAUUGGGGAUAGGAUUUCUAUUAUUUGUGCUACCUGACUAAUUCUGGAGACUUGGACCCAGACUUUGGUGGGUUGAAUCCAAAGGUGCAGGGACUUUGUGUUCCCCAAGAGGGCAGGCAGCAGAGCCCAUGUGUUCUUUAACUAACUGUGUCUUUGUGUUUGCAAUGGCAAUGGGAAAGAGGGAAAAAUUAUAAUAAUUCUUACAAUGAUUAUGUGCUGGGAUCUUUGGCUGGAAUGAUCCCUUGGAAUGAAAAGCUGAUACUAUCAUGCCUUUGCUUACAUCCCUUCAGUGGCUUGUUUUCUUUGGAGCCUGUAAAAUCAAAGUCCAAAUCCUUCCUGUGACUUAGAGUCGCCGCAGUCUGUCUCUUGUCCUCCCUACUCUAGUGUACCCAUAUUGUCCACGGAUCUCGGAAUAUGUCAUGCCUUCUCUAGUCUCAGGGUCUUUGCACAGGAAGUUCCCAUGUUAUAAAAUGCUUUUCCCCCUUCUUUUCACCUUUAUAACCUCUACUUAUCUUCCUGUUUUAUGCUAAAGUCUCUGUCAGAGAAGGCUUUCUCAAAUCCUCCAAACAAGUCAGGUCAUUUCCCCCUGUAUUUCUACGAUGCCCAUUCUCAGAGCUGAUGGCAAUCAGUAAAACUGUGUCCCUCACUGUAUGCUUACCAGUUAAAACAUUGAAGACAAUACUUUUGUAAUUGUUGAUGAUUUAUUACUGCUCUGAGCCCCCAGUGCCAAGCCCUGACCACACGGACCCUCUUUGGAACAUUCCCUUUUGCCCAUUCCCCAUUACUCCAAAAUCAAGCAACUAAAAGUUUAUUCUCUGGCACCAUAGUGGACUUUCAGACCCCUGAUCUGAGGUUACAGCCAAAAUCCAUUCUGAUUGGCCCAUAUAAUCCCUGCUCAUAUUUCUGCCUUAUGAUUAUUUGUCUCAUAAUCAUGUUAUCGAGCAGUGAUUAUUUGUGUUUUUGGUAACAUUCUAAAAUCCAGAAAGCAGGGGCGAGUUUUAGAGUAUAGUGGACCUGCAACCUGAAAUACUCAAUAUGCACUUCUGUUAACUGCUUGUGUUAUUUAAUCCUCACAACUCCAUGAGGUAAAAGUUGUCCAGCCUUUCUAUUUUACAACUGAGGCUUCAAAAGAUAAAAGAGAUCCAUGCUGAAGGGAGAGGAAAAGAAGAAGACCCCAAGGACCACAGGCCUGGGCCUGUGUUAUCCCAAUGCCAUCAUCUCAGGAUACGAUGGGAGCUGCUAGGUGUAGAGAUGGCUCUUCUUUGAAGAAACCCCCAUGAAAUGGUUUCAGGGGAGGUCACUGUGGUUAUAUCCCAGAAGAUUUGCCCUGCAAGUGAAACAGAAGCUUCUCAUGGAGAUGUGGAGGGGGCUGCCCCGCUGUGUCAGAAAGUGGAGACUCUAUGGAACCAACCCCAUUAUACUGAGAUAGGGUUGAGGCUGCUGAUGGGUCUUUACCUAUUGUAGCUUCCAUUUGUAUGGUAGGCAGCCGCUAAGAUGGCCCCAGAUAUCACUGCCUUGUGAUAGUCCUGUCUUUGUGUAAUCCACUCCCCAUGAGUGUGGGCUGGAUCUACUGGCUCUCUUCUGCUAAACAGAUGAUCGAAAAAGUGAUGAAAUGUCACUUCUAAAAUUAGGUUACACAGAGAAUGUGGUUUCUUUUUUGCUCACUCCCUCUUACUCAGGGAAACUAGCUACCUCUUUAUGUACUGCCCUAUGGAGAGGCACACAUGUCAAGAAACUGAGGGAGUGCCUUCCAGUCAACAGCCAGCCAGGAACUAAGGUGCUCAGUACAGCAGCCUCCACAAAGGACUGAACAAUGCCAACAGCUAUUUGACUGUGCUUGGAAGAUCUCCGUUUAGUUAACCCUUCAGAUGAGACCGCAGCCCUGGCCAGCAAACAAAUUGCAGCCUAUGGAAAGACCUUAAGGCAGAAGCACCCAACUGAACCACCCGAGGGCUCUGACUUACAGAAACUGUGAGCAUAUAGUGAAAUGGCCUCUACCUUAUUUUGAAUGGAUUUCUGGGAUAAAGUUCUUCAGUGAUAACAUGUUUGAAGUUUCAGGAAAGAGGCACUGGCCUUUACUUCUCCACCUCGAUUCACUUCCAUGCUGUUGACAAAUGUUAUAGUUGCCCAGGAUCAGAGGGAGAGACUGACCCUGUGACCAUUUCCCCAAAGGCGGCCUUUGGCCACUCCGUGCACUGGAGCACAUGACCCUCUGCCUCGCCCCUGCCACAUUAACCAGGUGACUGUCUGCCAAGGCCCAGCCCAGUCCAAAGGGAAUUGGGAUUCAGUGUCCCAAACAAGGCACUGAUUAGCUGGUAAUCAGGCAGCGAUUAGCAGGUCGGGUCACCUGCAGUUCAGUGCCCAUUGUUCCCAGCAAAGUCCUGGGAUAUUUGCCACACGGCUGGCCAGUCUGAAUGUCUGAGGAUUCCGAUGCCUGCAGCUCUGCUGUGGAGAUGUGUGAUUAGGAACAAAUCCUCUGUUCUCUAAGCCCAUCCCCCCAAGGAGGCAGUGCAGUGUGAAUAGUGAAUCCCCUUCUCUAUUCACACACAAAGGUUUGGGGAGAAGAAUGGCCUGCUUAGGAGCUCAACAGUGACAGAGAGGUGAGGCCCCAAGGAUGCACUGAAGAACUGAAAGCAAAUUAGCACAUUCCUCUUCCUGCACCAUGAUGACUGAGAGUGGAGGAACGGGCAAGCCCACAUCCAGACUGGGAUUCUACUGUGAUCUUGAGAUGUGACCUUGGACAAGAUUUUUAACCUCUGAGCUUGUUUACCUUGAUUUUGAGAGUUUAAUAACACUUGCCUCUUCAGCCUUUGAAGUUCAGAUUUAGAAAAUGAACAUAAAGCAGUUACUACAGUCUCUGUAGCGUGUGACCAAUACAUGCUAUCACCGUUAUCAUCGGUCAUAGUAAUAUCAAUAUUUAAAAUAUCAUAAUUAUUUGAAAUACUUUAUUUAAAAUAUGCCUCUGUAACAUCACUUCUAAAUGAGAGAUAGCCCCUUUGUAGGAGGCCAUGAUAAGGAUGAGAUGAGAAUUCUUGUAAAGCUUUCAUCACAGGGCCUAGCAAGUAAUUAGCACUUAAUAAAUCAUAGUAACAAUGGUGAUCACCAUCAUUAUUGUUUGUACAAAGUUGAAUGGAAAAGACUAUUUUGUAGCACUUUUCACUGUAUUGUAGCAUGUGAUCAUGAAAAUUUAGACAAAGCAUAAUUUUUCGAGCUAAAAGGAGAUUAAUGAAAUUAUUCAUGGCACAUUCACACCAUUGGACACUGUUCAGCUUUAUAGUCUAUGUGCCCUUCCACCACCUGGAGAUCUUGCUAAAAUUCUCAUUUGGUAAAUCUGGGGUCAGCCCAAGAUUACGCAUUUCCAGUGGAUUCUCAAGUGAUUCCAGGGCUACCUGUCCAUGGACUCCACUUUGAGUAAACAGGAUGUACACUUUUACAAUAAAAAAUGUGUAUAUGCAUUUAUACAGAAAUAUAGAAAAAUAUUCCUAGGCUAUACUCAAGAUGGGGGACAGUGUUUUUCACCCCCUUCGCUAAACUGUACUAUCUUUCCCAGAAAUUUAAUAACAAACAUGUAAAAACAUUUAAAAAUGCAAUAAAUUUUAUUGAUGCAAGUUCUUCCCUUCUCUAAAAGUUUGUCACACAGCCAGGUUUUCCAGCACAUUCUUUG
rnacentral:lncRNA from 1 species